AUUGAACGCUGGCGGCAGGCCUCACACAUGCAAGUCGAGCGAGCGGCGGACGGGUGAGUAAUGUCUGGGAAACUGCCUGAUGGAGGGGGAUAACUACUGGAAACGGUAGCUAAUACCGCAUACCAUCAGAUGUGCCCAGAUGGGGUUAGCUAGUAGGUGGGGUAACGGAUCACCUAGGCGCCGAUCCCUAGCUGGUCUGAGAGGAUGACCAGCCAAACUGUAACGGAGAAACGGUCCAGACUCCUACGGGAGGAAGCAGUGGGGAAUAUGGCACAAUGGGCGCAAGCCUGAUGCAGCCAUGCCGGGUGUGUGAAGAAGGCCGUCGGGUUGUAAAGUACUUUCAGCGGGGAGGCGUUACCCGCAGAAGAAGCACCGGCUAACUCCGUGCCAGCAGCCGCGGUAAUAC
rnacentral:rRNA from 1 species